rnacentral:rRNA from 1 species
UGAGGGAAUAUUGGGUCAAUGGGCGCAAGCCUGAACCAGCCAAGUCGCGUGAGGGAAGACGGUCCUAUGGAUUGUAAACCUCUUUUGUCAGGGAGCAAGCGCGGGACGCGUCCCGUCGUUGAGAGUACCUGAAGAAAAAGCAUCGGCUAACUCCGUGCCAGCAGCCGCGGUAAUACGGAGGGUGCGAGCGUUAUCCGGAUUUAUUGGGUUUAAAGGGUGCGUAGGCGGAUUAUUAAGUCAGCGGUGAAAGCGUGUGGCUCAACCAUACAGUUGCCGUUGAUACUGGUAGUCUUGAGUGUAAACGAGGUAGGCGGAAUGUGAUGUGUAGCGG